UCACGCCUCCUCGAUUCCUUCCACUCCCUCGACACCACCUCCCUUCCACCCGGCGGCGCCUCCUCCUUCCUCCUCAUCUGGCGGCGCCUUCUCCUUCCUCCUCGUCCGCCUUCAUCCCCAUCCGGCGGUGCCUCCUCCUUCCUACCCAUCCAGCAACGCCUCCUCCCUCCUUUCCACGGCCUCCAGCACAGCGCGCCACCGGCUAGCUGCACCACCACCGUAUCCGCGAGAGAGGAAGUUGCGGGAGGAGGAGAGCCCAUACUGUGAGGAAGACGUGGGGAGGAGCUCUACCCGGCUCAGCUGCCGGCCAGGAUCUGGAAGAAGAGGAGACCCAGUGCUGGCGUCGGCUCGAGCGAUGCGGGUUGACGGUCAGUGCAGGUGAGCGCGGCGUGUAGUGCGGUGCCCUGGACAGGUGGCAGCAGCCGUCAAGACAGGAGCGGCGCCGUGAGCGACGGCCCUUGGUCGUCUUCAGGUGUGCGUCGUUCGUGGUGGCCAGUCGUAGGUGUUGCCGGGCGACCAGAGGCGCCUGCAGCAGGCCGGUGCCCCUUAGCAAGAUUGGCAUGAACUGGGAGGCAACCGGUGUGUAGUAUGAUCCUCACAGGGUCAGAGUAUAACCCAGAUCAGUCCUUAUGGGAGAGAGGGUUUAUGCUUGCAGGGCGAAGGUAUAAACAACUAGACUUGGAGGCAGCUCACAAAUGCAAGGGGCCAUACCUUAAAAUGCAGCCACUAUCUUCUUGCUUUCGUUCCAGAAAAUAAUGCCCUCCCGUGUGUGAUCUACUGCCAUGGAAAUAGCUGAUGCAGAGCAGAUGCAAAUGAAGUUGCUGUAGUACUUCUUCCUUCAAACAUCACAGUUUUCGCACUAGACUUUUCCGGUUCAGGUCCAUCGGACGGAGAUUAUGUCAGCCUUGGUUGGCAUGAGAAAGAGGACCUCAAAUGCGCAGUAUCAUUCCUGCGCACCAACAAGCAAGUUUCCCGUAUAGACCUUCGGGCGCGAUCGAUGGGUGCUGUUACAAGCCUACUACAUGGAGCAGAAGAACUGAGAGAUGAUGUUUCUGCUGAGCCUACUAUAUGGUUCUUGGUUCUGCUAUUGAUGAGAUAUAUGUUAUCAUUCUGACGAUCUGUCGCAACAACAUAUGGUUUUUCAGCUAUAAAUUUUUGCUAUCUGGUCUCUGUUUUGGCCUCCUGAUUAGUUGAUAAUUUUUUUAUUUGAUUUGGUCUUUGUUGAUGAUUUUUGGUUUAAAAUCUUUCUCCAUGAAAAUCGUAAAAGCAAACGGGUGGUCUGAACUGAUGCCAUGUUGAUAUGUCUACAUAAUCCAUGCUUACCCUUGUGGUUGGCAUCCGAGAGAAAACAUCAUAUGUCUUUUCCAAUCUUCUCAACAAUUAUUUUCUUCUGUUUUUUGUCGUGUUUGCGCUUAGGUCAUGUUCUCCCUCUUAGUUGGAGUUUAGUUUUUUUACAGGACUCGGAUCUGAGAGGGAUGCAGUGGUUGCGGAUAGCGAGAUGGUUUACUUACCAACCCUUUGCAGUGUUUGCCAACUCUCGAGUCAAAUGGUCUAACCAAGUUUUCCUCAAUCCUCUGUUCUCAUUUUGGUUUUGAUGCCUUGCUGCCUUCAACAUUAAGGUGAGGUCUGAGGCAUUGCGAUUCCUGGAAUCCUUCUUCCAUUUUUCUUUCGAUUUGAUUUUCUGCCUCCCAAAUGAUGAUUACAAGUGCAUGGUUCAUAUGAUCGAAUUGUGAUUGCUUGAACAAAAAUAGUCUUUCGCUCCUAUCUGACCACCUUUCAAUCUCACGCCUUUUCAGGAGAAUCAAACAACUUAGUUUGUCUGUUUUUUUUUCAUAUUACAUGUAGAACAUUGCAUUGACAAGGUGUAGUUGUAUUGAUUCAUUAUAGGACGGUGAAGAUUGAUAUUUGGUCUUGUUCAUCGAGACUGGCAUUUAUUUGCCUUGCAAACCAUCCUGCUAUAUCAGCACCCAUAUUCUGAGUCCUCUUAUUAGUACUAUCUUGGUUCGACAUGUUAAUUCUUUUCUAUUGUUUGCCCUAUGAUUAGACUAAACUAAUAGAGAAGCAAUUUCCACUUGACUAAUAAAUAGGGUGAUUUUUUAUUUGCUUGGAUUUGAGCAGUGAUGAGACAAUUAAAUAAAUAUGAUCUUCUGGGUGUGAUUAUCAAUCGCUACUUUCUUACUGAGCUCCUAUCCAUUUGCUUUUGAGUCUGUUGUGAUUUGUUCACCAAUUUUCUAAAUUCAGCUUGAUCGCAAGAGGUAUUCGGAUCUUCAAAACAUUUUGAACUUUGAUUGCGAUUGCACAAUAGAUACUUUGACGUUUGCAAUGAUUUUCCGAACCAGUUUGAGGAUGACGACUUCAUAUCUGUCGCUCCACUCUUACGGUCUGCAUAGGUGGAUCUUUGCUGAUUGACAUACUUCCGAAUCUGAUUCGAUGAACACUCCUAUAUCUGCAUUCAAAGGCAAAGGGCGGGCUAUCAUGCCUAAAACGCCUAGCAAAUCACAAUGCCCAAAAAGCUCUCGUCGCAAGCUUUUUACUUCACCUUUGAAGAUUAAAGGGCCUGAGGUUAAGGGAGCAGACCUGUCUAACUCUACUGGAAAUGUUACUACCGAAGCUGAAAAGAGUCCUUCUGCUGGAGAUGUAGUUCAAGCUGUAUCCAGCCAAAUGAACCUAAACAAGUUGAUCAAGAGACUGAGACCGCAGUAGCUGGAGAUGGAAAGAAUGUUCUUUCCGAACAGACUAAAAACAAGAGAGCGAACGCUGCUGCCAAAGGCGCCGGCACUCCAAAGAAAGCAAAGCAGUAGUUCUUCGAUGAACUAAUCUAGACGUGUACAUAUGGGUAUCUUCUAUGUUCUGCUUGCUUAUCAAGCUAAAUUAGCUACUAGAUGGAUAUGCUGAUCAAGAGAUUUUCUCAGCUCUCCUGCAUCGUAGCAACGGUCUAGCCAUCAGGUCUGAGGAUCGCCAGCACAGCAAACUUUUGUGGAUGCACUUGCUGUAUUUUGUGCGGAAUGAUCUCCUCCGCGGUAGCUGCUCCUGCGGUCGAACCAGAUACACGGAUGCCAAAGGCCCGCGGUCAGCUUCUGCAGUGCCCUACUCUUUACCAGGUGUUCAAUCUAUUUUGGUCCUGAACAAAGGCGGAUAGGAGUUCCUACGAGCAGUCAUAUUUCUCAAGCCCCCUUGGUCUAUCUUUUGAAAUCGUGCUCAUGGAGCUGGUCGAGCUAUCCACCGUUUCUCUAGCUGAAGCAAUGUUUGAGAAACUCGAGCUCCCUAAACCAGUCUACCAUGUGCAUCAGCUUGAGCAGGGUGGGUAUAAAGCGCAGGUUGAAUUUCACCGUACAAAAGAGCGUUUUCAUGCUUCAGCACGCCGGGUUAAACUGCCAAGCCCUGUAUGUGUGGAUGGGGAGGCAUCAAUGAAUCACAUGGAAUCCAGAGAGGCAUUAAUGUGUAUCAUCUUGAUUGUCGCCUUGACCUUAUCAAUCCUCUUCUUCCCUCCGUGUACCAAACCUUCUCUCGCUCACCCUGUCUCUUCCAGACCAUCGUCGUUGUUCCUCAACUUCGAUUGCAAUAUCAACACGUCAGUUCCUCAGGUGGAUCCUCACUGAAUCAGACCGCUUAACAGGCGAACCUUUACCAACAUGGUAUUAUUUCAAUUUUGAGUUAGUGUUGUUCCUUAGAGACAUGGUCAAAUAUUGAGAAAUUUUAGAUUUGCUUGCAUCUUGGUUUGCCCGUGACUGAAAUCAAUAUUUCUUCAUUGCUAACAAGAAAAGAUCAGUUGUCUCAUGCAGAUGCAUACCCUGUUGAUAUGUUACUGCUCAUUUCAGAAGUGUUUGAUUCAUCCUAGCUAAUUCAAGUUAACCUGGGUACAACAAUAGAUAGACAUUUAUUUAUGGACAACAAUAGUAGU